rnacentral:rRNA from 1 species
CCUACGGGAGGCAGCAGUGGGGAAUAUUGCACAAUGGGGGAAACCCUGAUGCAGCAACGCCGCGUGAAGGAAGACGGUUUUCGGAUUGUAAACUUCUGUUCUUAGUGAAGAAUAAUGACGGUAGCGAAGGAGCAAGCCACGACAAACUACGUGCCAGCAGCCGCGGUAAUACGUAGGUGGCAAGCGUUGUCCGGAAUUACGGGGUGGAAAGGGGGGGCAGGCGGGAAGCCAAGGUAGCUGUUAAAACUACGGGCUUAACUUGUAGACUGCAGUUGAAACUGGUUUUCUUGAGUGAAGUAGAGGUUGGCGGAAUUCCGGGUGUAGCGGUGAAAUGCGUAGAUAUUCGGAGGAACACCGGUGGCGAAGGCGGCCAACUGGGCUUUAACUGACGCUGAGGCUCGAAAGUGUGGGGAGCAAACAGGAUUAGAUACCCGUGUAGUC